GACGAACGCUGGCGGCGUGCCUAAUACAUGCAGGUCGAACGAGGUCCAUCCCGUGGCAACACGGGUGAAGACCUAGUGGCGAACGGGUGAGUAACACGUGAGGAACCCACCCUGGUCUCAGGAAUAACAGGUGGAAACACCUGCUAAUACCGGGUACCUUCACCCCACCGCAUGAUGGGGUGAAGAAAGAUUCAUCGGACCGGGACGGCCUCGCGGCCUAUCAGCUUGUUGGUGGGGUAACGGCCCACCAAGGCUCCGACGGGUAGCUGGUCUGAGAGGACGAUCAGCCACACUGGGACUGAGACACGGCCCAGACUCCUACGGGAGGCAGCAGUAGGGAAUCUUGCGCAAUGGGCGAAAGCCUGGCGCAGCAACGCCGCGUGGGGGAUGAAGGCCCUCGGGUUGUAAACCCCUUUCAGCAGGAACGAAUCUGACGGUACCUGCAGAAGAAGGUCCGGCUAACUACGUGCCAGCCGCCGCAGUAACAC
rnacentral:rRNA from 1 species